GGACAUCAAGGUGAUCUGGUUGCCAUACUUGUUUCCCCAUAUGAUCAGCAGUGUGGAUCUACAUGACUUGGCUGGCUAGACUGAUGUCUUCUUUCUACAUCAUCAUUCCAAGUGCACUCCUCCCAAAGUUGUGGACUUGGUGGAAAUGAACAACCAUCCCACCUAGAUGGAUUGUACUAUUCUUUGGCCAGACAAUGCCUUGGCAGAACUGAACCUGCCCAUCAUCCAAUCAUGGAGAAAGAUCUUGAAUAUUCCUUUCCCCUU
rnacentral:sRNA from 1 species